rnacentral:rRNA from 1 species
GACGAACGCUGGCGGCGUGCUUAACACAUGCAAGUCGAACGGUAAGGCCCUUCGGGGUACACGAGUGGCGAACGGUGAGUAACACGUGGGUGAUCUGCCCUGCACUUCGGGAUAAGCCUGGGAAACUGGGUCUAAUACCGGAUAGGACCACUGCCUGCACGGGUGGGGGUGGAAAGCUUUUGCGGGGUGGGAUGGGCCCGCGGCCUAUCAGCUUGUUGGUGGGGUGAUGGCCUACCAAGGCGACGACGGGUAGCCGGCCUGAGAGGGUGACCGGCCACACUGGGACUGAGAUACGGCCCAGACUCCUACGGGAGGCAGCAGUGGGGAAUAUUGCACAAUGGGCGCAAGCCUGAUGCAGCGACGCCGCGUGAGGGAUGACGGCCUUCGGGUUGUAAACCUCUUUCAGCACCGACGAAGCGCAAGUGACGGUAGGUGCAGAAGAAGGACCGGCCAACUACGUGCCAGCCGCCGCAGUAA